ACUGAAUUCGACACUCUCGAUACAUUAGAAGAAUGAGAUCAAGAUGUCUUUCAAUGAUUAAUAAUGAGAUAAAAUUUGCAAUAGAAAAGGGAUAGUGAAUUCUAAAUUCUAAUUCAGCAAAGUUUCAAGUGAAACGUACUCGUAAGGGCACAAUAGUAGUUUUCAUUGUUAAGAGUAUGUAGCACUACCAUGGCAUACAUUCAAAAUUGCUUGAAGUAUAUUUCAUUGAUUGUAUGGAUGAGUCUAACUUUAAGAUGCAGCAAAGUGUGGAAUGAGUCGACCCCAACAAAGGUGGAGUCGACCCUGGCACAUCAUGGAACCAUCAGGCACACCUCUGCGAAAAUGGCACGGAUGAACAGUAGUGGAGUUGACCC
rnacentral:lncRNA from 1 species